UACACUCCUACGGGAGGCAGCAGUGGGGAAUAUUGGACAAUGGGCGCAAGCCUGAUCCAGCCAUGCCGCGUGAGUGAUGAAGGCCCUAGGGUUGUAAAGCUCUUUCACCGGUGAAGAUAAUGACGGUAACCGGAGAAGAAGCCCCGGCUAACUUCGUGCCAGCAGCCGCGGUAAUACGAAGGGGGCUAGCGUUGUUCGGAUUUACUGGGCGUAAAGCGCACGUAGGCGGACUAUUAAGUCAGGGGUGAAAUCCCGGGGCUCAACCCCGGAACUGCCUUUGAUACUGGUAGUCUUGAGUUCGAGAGAGGUGAGUGGAAUUCCGAGUGUAGAGGUGAAAUUCGUAGAUAUUCGGAGGAACACCAGUGGCGAAGGCGGCUCACUGGCUCGAUACUGACGCUGAGGUGCGAAAGCGUGGGGAGCAAACAGGAUUAGAAACCCGUGUAGUCCCA
rnacentral:rRNA from 1 species